rnacentral:rRNA from 1 species
AACGAACGCUGGCGGCAGGCUUAACACAUGCAAGUCGAGUGCCCCGCAAGGGGAGCGGCAGACGGGUGAGUAACGCGUGGGAAUCUACCCAUCUCUACGGAAUAACGCAUGGAAACGUGUGCUAAUACCGUAUACGUCCUUCGGGAGAAAGAUUUAUCGGAGAUGGAUGAGCCCGCGUUGGAUUAGCUAGUUGGUGGGGUAAAGGCCUACCAAGGCGACGAUCCAUAGCUGGUCUGAGAGGAUGAUCAGCCACACUGGCACUGAGACAAGGCCCAGAUCCGUAGGCAAGACAGGAGUGGGGAAUAUUGGUCAAUGCGUGCAAGCCUGACCCAGCCAAGCCGCGGGAGUGAUGAGGGCCCUAGGGUUGUAAAGCUCUUCCACCGGUGAAGAUAAUGACGGUAACCGGAGCAGAAGCCCCGGCUCACUUCGUGGCAGCAGCCGCAGUAAGAC